rnacentral:rRNA from 1 species
GCCAUGCCGCGUGUGUGAAGAAGGUCUUCGGAUUGUAAAGCACUUUAAGUUGGGAGGAAGGGCAGUAAGUUAAUACCUUGCUGUUUUGACGUUACCAACAGAAUAAGCACCGGCUAACUUCGUGCCAGCAGCCGCGGUAAUACGAAGGGUGCAAGCGUUAAUCGGAAUUACUGGGCGUAAAGCGCGCGUAGGUGGUUUGGUAAGAUGGAUGUGAAAUCCCCGGGCUCAACCUGGGAACUGCAUCCAUAACUGCCUGACUAGAGUACGGUAGAGGGUGGUGGAAUUUCCUGUGUAGCGGUGAAAUGCGUAGAUAUAGGAAGGAACACCAGUGGCGAAGGCGACCACCUGGACUGAUACUGACACUGAGGUGCGAAAGCGUGGGGAGCAAACAGGAUUAGAAACCCUUGUAGUCCAGACCAAGUC